rnacentral:rRNA from 1 species
CCGGUUGAUCCUGCCAGAGGUUACUGCUAUCGAGAUUCGACUAAGCCAUGCGAGUUGAAUGUUCUUCGUGAACAUGGCGGACUGCUCAGUAACACGUGGACAACCUACCCUUCGGUCCGGCAUAAUCCUGGGAAACUGGGGAUAAUUCCGGAUAGGUCACAGAUGCUGGAAUGCUCUGCGACUCAAAGCUCCGGCGCCGAAGGAUGGGUCUGCGGCCUAUCAGGGUUGUAGUGGGUGUAACGUACCUACUAGCCUACGACGGGUACGGGUUGUGAGAGCAAGAGCCCGGAGAUGGAUUCUGAGACACGAAUCCAGGCCCUACGGGGUGCAGCCGCCGCGGUAAUA